GUGGGGAAUUUUGGACAAUGGGCGAAAGCCUGAUCCAGCCAUGCCGCGUGCAGGAUGAAGGCCUUCGGGUUGUAAACUGCUUUUGUACGGAACGAAAAGACUCUGGUUAAUACCUGGGGUCCAUGACGGUACCGUAAGAAUAAGCACCGGCUAACUACGUGCCAGCAGCCGCGGUAAUACGUAGGGUGCAAGCGUUAAUCGGAAUUACUGGGCGGAAAGCGUGCGCAGGCGGUUAUAUAAGACAGAUGUGAAAUCCCCGGGCUCAACCUGGGAACUGCAUUUGUGACUGUAUAGCUAGAGUACGGCAGAGGGGGAUGGAAUUCCGCGUGUAGCAGUGAAAUGCGUAGAUAUGCGGAGGAACACCGAUGGCGAAGGCAAUCCCCUGGGCCUGUACUGACGCUCAUGCACGAAAGCGUGGGGAGCAAACAGGAUUAGAAACCCCGGUAGUCC
rnacentral:rRNA from 1 species